rnacentral:tRNA from 9 species
GUCCCUGUAGUUCAACGGAUAGAACGGGAGCCUUCUAAGCUCUAGAUCGAGGUUCGAUUCCUCGCGGGGACACAA